GUCCAGACUCCUACGGGAGGCAGCAGUGAGGAAUAUUGGUCAAUGGGCUUACGCCUGAACCAGCCAAGUCGCGUGAGGGAUGACGGCCCUACGGGUUGUAAACCUCUUUUGUCGGGGAGCAAAGAGAGUCACGUGUGGCUCAUUGAGAGUGCCCGAAGAAAAAGCAUCGGCUAACUCCGUGCCAGCAGCCGCGGUAAUACGGAGGAUGCGAGCGUUAUCCGGAUUUAUUGGGUUUAAAGGGUGCGUAGGCGGAAUGCCAAGUCAGCGGUAAAAUCGCGGGGCUCAACCUCGCUCCGCCGUUGAAACUGGCGUUCUUGAGUGGGCGAGAAGUAUGCGGAAUGCGUGGUGUAGCGGUGAAAUGCAUAGAUAUCACGCAGAACUCCGAUUGCGAAGGCAGCAUACCGGCGCCCAACUGACGCUGAAGCACGAAAGCGUGGGUAUCGAACAGGAUUAGAUACCCGGGUAA
rnacentral:rRNA from 1 species